UGUGUAGUGAAAAGAGAGGAUAUCGGCGAACACGAGGAAACCGGAUUGACAAUAUAAUGAGACUGUUCAAUUCGUGUUGGUGCCAUGGUGUAAGCAUACUUACCUGGUACAGAGAAUACCGUGAUCAUAUAGGCGGUUUCUCCAGGAAGAGGCUCUCCCAUUGCACUUCGGUUGGGCUGACGCCUGCGAUUACCCCAAAUGUGGGUAACUCGGGUACGCAAUUUAUUCGUGUGGGGGUCUGCGUUCGCGCUAACCCUCGUCCAAGCAAUCAUACCUGAAUCAUGCAAUUGUUCAUGCAGUAAUGUCCCGCCCGGCCGAUGACAGCACGAGACUUGCAAGGCGAACGACACGAGCCCGGCGCGGAACGUGCAGCUGCUGCAGCUGAUCGUCAACCGGAUGCAUCCAGUAAUGUCCCGCCCGGCCGAUGACAGCACGAGACUUGCAAGGCGAACGACACGAGCCCGGCGCGGAACGUGCAGCUGCUGCAGCUGAUCGUCAACCGGAUGCAUCCAGUAAUGUCCCGCCCGGCCGAUGACAGCACGAGACUUGCAAGGCGAACGACACGAGCCCGGCGCGGAACGUGCAGCUGCUGCAGCUGAUCGUCAACCGGAUGCAUCCAGUAAUGUCCCGCCCGGCCGAUGACAGCACGAGACUUGCAAGGCGAACGACACGAGCCCGGCGCGGAACGUGCAGCUGCUGCAGCUGAUCGUCAACCGGAUGCAUCCAGUAAUGUCCCGCCCGGCCGAUGACAGCACGAGACUUGCAAGGCGAACGACACGAGCCCGGCGCGGAACGUGCAGCUGCUGCAGCUGAUCGUCAACCGGAUGCAUCCAGUAAUGUCCCGCCCGGCCGAUGACAGCACGAGACUUGCAAGGCGAACGACACGAGCCCGGCGCGGAACGUGCAGCUGCUGCAGCUGAUCGUCAACCGGAUGCAUCCAGUAAUGUCCCGCCCGGCCGAUGACAGCACGAGACUUGCAAGGCGAACGACACGAGCCCGGCGCGGAACGUGCAGCUGCUGCAGCUGAUCGUCAACCGGAUGCAUCCAGUAAUGUCCCGCCCGGCCGAUGACAGCACGAGACUUGCAAGGCGAACGACACGAGCCCGGCGCGGAACGUGCAGCUGCUGCAGCUGAUCGUCAACCGGAUGCAUCCAGGUUGAUGGAGUUUUGUGUUUUGUUGGAUAAGGAACUCUUCCACCG